rnacentral:rRNA from 1 species
AGCGAAUAGAUACCCCGGUAGUCCACGCCCUAAACGAUGUGCACUAGAUCGUGGAGGCUCUGACGCCAUCAUGGUCGAAGUUAAAAUGCUAAGUGCACCGCCUGGGGAGUACGGUCGCAAGGCUAAAACUCAAAGAAAUUGACGGGGGCUCACACAAGCGGUGGAGCAUGUGGCUCAAUUCGAAGCAACGCGAAGAACCUUAUCCUGGGCUUGACAUGUAUGGAUUAGGUCGUGGAAACACGGCCGAGGCCUUCGGGUACAACAUACACAGGUGCUGCAUGGCUGUCGUCAGCUCGUGCUGUGAAGUGUCGGGUUAAGUCCCUUAACGAGCGAAACCCCGUAUCUCUAGUUGCCAACAGGUAAUGCUGGGGACUCUAGCGAGACUGCCGGUGUCAAACCGGAGGAAGGUGGGGAUGACGUCAAGUCCUCAUGGCCCUUAUGCCCAGGGCUGCACACGUGCUACAAUGGCGUCGACAAAGCGAAGCAAGACCGCAAGGUGGCGCAAAUCGCACAAACGAC